UUGAAAUACCGGUUCCUGUACGAUCACCGAAGUUAAGCAAACUUGAGCCUAGUUAGUACCUAGAUGGGUGACAGCUUGGGAAUACCAAUUACUGUAA